rnacentral:rRNA from 1 species
AUUGAACGCUGGCGGCAUGCCUAACACAUGCAAGUCGAACGGCAGCACGGCAGUAGCAAUACUGUGGGUGGCGAGUGGCGGACGGGUGAGGAAUACGUCGGAAUCUGCCCAGUCGUGGGGGAUAACUAGCCGAAAGGUUAGCUAAUACCGCAUACGACCGAGAGGUGAAAGCGGGGGACCGGCAAGGCCUCGCGCGAUUGGAUGAGCCGACGUCGGAUUAGCUAGUUGGUGGGGUAAAGGGCCCACCAAGGCGACGAUCCGUAGCUGGUCUGAGAGGAUGAUCAGCCACACUGGAACUGAGACACGGUCCAGACUCCUACGGGAGGCAGCAGUGGGGAAUAUUGCACAAUGGGCGAAAGACCUGAUGCAGCAAUGCCGCGUGUGUGAAGAAGGGCCUGCGGGUUGUAAAGCACUUUCUAGUAGGAGGGAAACGAAGUAG